GCGGUGUGUGCAAGGGGGCCACCGUGGGUGUGCUGCUGGACCUGAAUAAGCACACUCUGACCUUCUUCAUCAAUGGGCAGCAGCAGGGCCCCACAGCCUUCAGCCACGUGGACGGGGUCUUCAUGCCAGCCCUCAGCCUCAACCGCAACGUUCAGGUCACCCUGCACACAGGACUGGAAGUGCCAACGAACCUGGGGCGGCCAAAGCUGUCAGGCAACUAGCCUGCCAGGCCCUGCUCUGCGUGGCCGUCCCUCACUGCACUCACAUAGCCCCCGAGGGAGCACAGCCACAUCCCGGGUGCAGCCCAGCAGCCGCUGAGCAUCUUAGAGACACGCUUUCUUUGAGGGACGGAGAAUGUCUGAGGCCAGGCUCACUGAGGCCGCAGAGGGUGGUGAACGUGGGUGCUUCCUGUCGUUCCAAUGGGCAUUACAGACACGAAGAAGGACGUUUGUCAAGACAGUGAGGAAGUAUUCGGGGUUUCAUUUGGUUUCCUGCCUUCUGUUUUCAAUGCUUGUCUUUUGCAGAGGGUGGGGAGGGGGGCAAGGGGAGAGCAGACCCUGUGGCGAGCAUCCUGAGAGCAGGAGUCGGGGGUCCUGUAUCCUUGGUGUCAAAUCUUUGCUGGAUGCACCGCUUCAGAGAACAAAGGGUGCUGGCUCCCAUCUCUGUCAGGAAGUGUCAUUCUUUAGGUUUUCAGUUCUGGCAUAUCUGGAGUCUGGCAUAUUCCACCACUUGCAGACGCAGCCAGGAUGCACAGAGAGGGGCGUUAAUUAUUCACCUUGCUCUUUGCCGCUCCCACUGAACUGCUGAGAACUUUUUCAAACGUUUCCUUAGGUCCUUCAUUAAUCAACCAGUCUCUCUCUCCCCCGCCAUCCCCUCACACAUGCGCGCGUGCGCACACACACACACACACACCAGUCUGCUAAAAUUCAUUCGCUCAGUUCUUAAACACAAAACCCUGGAAUCUGCAUCACUGUGCGCUGAGUCUCCACCUGGUGAUGGCUCUUUUUGGGAGCUGGCUCCUCCAGAAGUUAGCCGCAAACCCGAGUUACUCUUCUGAGCUGCGAGGCUCUCAGACUCAUGAGACUGGAGGCCCUUUGGAAGCCUCUUAUACCCAGUCCACCUUCACUUUGAGACCAUCCACGGCCACCAUGAGAGCAUCGUGAGAACAAGGAGUGGCCCGAUGGCAGGGCGGGCAGGACCCUGCAGAAGGCAGGAAACAGUGGACACUACCGUAUUCCCGGCCUCCCCCCCUUCCUCAGUGUGAGGAGUCCACGUGGCCGCGGUGGGGCUCCGGAGUGAGCCCGCCCCUCCCUGCUGGAAACCUAACCUUCUCCCUGGAGUCCGCCUCUCGAAAAGAGUCUGCUCUGGGGUCUGAACCCAGCUGCACCCCUCUGCUCUCCCCAUCUCUUCUUCCUUUUUGCCUGCCACCUCCCUCUCCAACUGGUAGUAAGCCUUUCUCUCUCCUUUUUAAAAGAAUAUAUUUUAUCAAGCAUUAUUUUUGAGGUCGAGGAGUAACUUGUCUAUUUGCUGGCUUGCAUUUUUAUAAAACUUAGCCCGUAAACCGGCACCGACUGUGUCUACUUGGCCCUACCUGCUCGUUUAGACACUGCACUUGCUUUCCGAGUCAGCCCGGCCAGUGCCGUGCAGAUCCUACUAGCCUCUAUUCAGCAGACCCGACAAUCCUACCUCAAGCCCCUGCUCCCAGACGAAGACUGCCGACCCAGCUGCGUCCACCAAGGUGGCCAGGGAGACUGGCCGCCCACGUCUGCAGGAGCCUCCUGGUGCUGUCUAAGCCUCUGCUGCCCAGGUCCUGGCAGCCAUCCACUCAGUCGAGGUCCAGCCUCCUCCUUUUCAUCCAGCGGGCGAUGCACAUGGCCCAUCCACAUCCUCGCAGCUGCCCGUCUCUUCCCCGCUCCCAGCAUCCUUUCAUCUCACUCCUGGGCCACGGCUCUGGGGGAACUCCCUGUGGAGGGUGGGGAAAGUUCUUGAAGCCUGGAGGCCCCAGAGGAACCCCUGCCUUCCCGGGGCAGGAAGCCGAGGCCGGCAGGUCCAGAGGCAUCAGCAUCGGGAAUGUCUUUGGGGAAAGACAAGCCCAGUGAGCUGGGAGUGAGGUGUGGCGAGGAAGGUGGUGACAGGACGGCCCGGCGGAAGUGGCUCCUCUCAGUGGAGCCUGGGUGAGAGGCUGGGAGCUCCCACCAUCGAAGCUGGGUGACCCUGCAACCCAGGCUCUGCGUCUUCAGGGAGGAGCUCCUUGGGAUCAGCCUGCACUUGGCGGCACCCUUGGGAGAGCAGUGUCUGGGUCAGAGGGAGAUGGGAAAGGGAGGAGGAAGGCCUCCUGAGGAAGAACAUGACUUUCUUCCCAGCAGCAGCAGCAGCAGCAGUGGCCCCAAGGCCCUGUGAGUGCCGGCACAGGUGAGCAUCUGCCUUCCGGCUCCUCCGGGGCCAGAAGCAAAACAGCUGACACCGAGCACCACGCCAGGUGGUCCGACAGCCACUCUUCUGUCCUCGGCACAAAACAACUUCUAGGAACAAGAGUGGACCACUGGGAGAAGGCAGGUCCACGUGUUCUUGAGGGACCAGCAGAAUGAAGGAGUGACUCAACAACAACUCAUGGGUCUCCAAGCCACCACCAUUCCCAGAAAACAACACUCCUCACCGCGUUCUUCCCUGCCCGCUUCUGACUAGAAGCUGCAGGAACGUCUUAGCAGGUGUGUGACCUUCAACUGGUCAAAACGUCAAAUCAGCCAUCAUCAGGAAGCUACUCAAGGCCUAUGCAAAUCCUGGAAACCACAGUGUUUCUUUCUCAAGCAAGCCAGGAGCUCCUGGCUAUUCAUUGGUCACAUUCACUGAUCCACGGCUUGAACUUUAAAUGGACUAUAAGACAGAGAAGAGUGGGUUUGGGGGGGGAAUGCCAGGCUCAACCAUCAGAAAUGCCUCUUUCAACCCAGUACAGGUGGGGCCAAACCUCUUCAGUCUGUGCCUCAGCCUCCCCACCUGGACGUGGGCGCGGUCACACUAACCUACCUCCUCUGGUGUGUUGUGAUGAUCGUAGAGUAAGGAACGCUUCUUAAAGAACAAAGUAGAGACAUGCAUCCACCGAGUCCAGGCCAACGGUUCACACUUGGAGGACAGAGCCUGCGAGAUGACUUUCCCGAGCCUCGUCUGACAUGUCUUCCAUCCAGGAGCACGUGUUGAUUACACAGCUGCCUGGCCAGGAGUGCGUAAAGCCAGAUUCACCUGAGCACAGAGAGCAACAGACAACUGCUCCCGUUCUCAGAACGGCCUGCUUUGAUGGCACUGUGUGGAGCACUGUACGCAGGCUAAGCAUCUGCAUGCAGACGCUGCCUUGAAACAUGGAAAGACAGCGACCGCCUCCCUGCCUUUGUGGUUAUCUUAGCCCUCGUUUAAGGGGACCUUCAGCUGACGAUGUUUCUCCUCUGUUUUCAAAGAUCUCCGCAGAAGGAACGGCUUUGAAAACCAACACCUAAGCAUGAGAAGGCAUACAACCGAACUAUGGUCUGGAAGGCAGGUUGGCCUAAAAGGUGGAGGGCCUGGUGUCCCCACGGGCUGGGACUCACCUGCACUACCUGUUAUGGGGGUGGGGUUCAUGGGUUUCUUGAUGAAUGACGUUGACUUGAGUCAGAGUAGCUGGGAGCUGAGGCUGCAGGCAAGUCUCUGAGCCAGGAGGCAUCACUGUCUCUCAACGGG